GGGUAUAGCUCAGUGGUAGAGUGCAUGCUUAGCAUGCAAAAGGCUCCAGGUUCAAUUCCCAGUACUUCCA
rnacentral:tRNA from 1 species